UUCUAGCUGUGAGCCUGUCACCAAGGUGACCACCGACAUCACCAAAUUCUCUUUUGUCACAAUGUGACAGAAUCUUUCCACUUUCCCCCUACUCCUGAAUGUCUAAAGAACUCUCAGUGCAUAUUAGCCAUCACCAUGGUUGAGACCCAGACCUCUGCAGAGACAAUCUUGAUUCUCUGGCUCCUGCUUCACAUUGCCCAUUCACCCUCAGCACUGAAAUCCUUACCUCAAGCGCUGGGAAUUCAGGCCCUGGAAGAUUAGGAGGCUCACAGCAGCUCUUCAGAUACAGCUUUUCUUCCAGAUGCUCAGAAAAGUGUGAUAACAUAGUAAUUUAUUCCUGCUCCUGCCCAUUGAUCUCCAAGCUUGUGAAAAUGGGAAAAUAAGGAGCAAGUUAUCCUUCAAGAUUCAGGACAAAUGUCACUUCCUCAGUGAAGCCUUCUCUCCCUCCUUGGUGUCUCCAUAAUACUCUGCUUAGACUUCACAUGAUAUCAUGUGUUUUCCUACUAGAUUCUGAACUCCCCAAGAGCGGCAACCCAUAUCUUAACUCUCUUUGCAUCAACAGAGCCCAAUACAAUGCCUGGCACAGAGUGAGCCUCAAAUAUGUCUAUGAUAUAAAUUUUCUAAUAAAAUGUCUAUGGUAUC